AACGAACGCUGGCGGCAUGCCUAAUACAUGCAAGUCGAACGAUCACUUCGGUGGUAGUGGCGCACGGGUGCGUAACGCGUGGGAAUCUGCCCUUGGGUUCGGAAUAACGUCGGGAAACUGACGCUAAUACCGGAUGAUGACGUAAGUCCAAGAUUUAUCGCCCAGGGAUGAGACCGCGUAGGAUUAGCUAGUUGGUGGGGUAAAGGCCUACCAAGGCGACGAUCCUUAGCUGGUCUGAGAGGAUGAUCAGCCACACUGGGACUGAGAAACGGCCCGGACUCCUACGGGAGGCAGCAGUAGGGAAUAUUGGACAAUGGGGGCAACCCUGAUCCAGCAAUGCCGCGUAAGUGAUGAAGGCCUUAGGGUUGUAAAGCUCUUUUACCCGGGAUGAUAAUGACAGUACCGGGAGAAUAAGCCCCGGCUAACUCCGUGCCAGCCGCCGCCGUAA
rnacentral:rRNA from 1 species